UAGGGAAUCUUCGGCAAUGGGGGCGAACCCCUGACCGAGCAACGCCGCGUGAGUGAAGAAGGUUUUCGGAUCGUAAAGCUCUGUUGUAAGAGAAGAACGUGUGUGAGAGUGGAAAGUUCACACAGUGACGGUAACUUACCAGAAAGGGACGGCUAACUACGUGCCAG
rnacentral:rRNA from 1 species